CCCUUAGAUGUUCGGGGCCGCACGCGCGCUACACUGAAGGAAUCAGCGCGUCUUUCUCCUUGUCCGAAAGGACUGGGUAACCCGCUGAACCUCCUUCGUGGUAGGGAUUGGGGCUUGUAAUUCUUCCCCAUGAACGAGGAAUUCCCAGUAAGCGCGAGUCAUAAGCUCGCGUUGAUUACGUCCCUGCCCUUUGUACACACCGCCCGUCGCUACUACCGAUUGGAUGGUUUAGUGAGAUCCUCGGAUUGGUCCCGGCGCGGCCUCUGGUCGUGCCGGAGUGCCGAAAAGAAUGUCGAACUUGAUCAUCUAGAGGAAGUAAAAGUCGUAACA
rnacentral:rRNA from 1 species